rnacentral:rRNA from 1 species
AGCGAACGCUGGCGGCAGGCUUAACACAUGCAAGUCGAACGCCCCGCAAGGGGAGUGGCAGACGGGUGAGUAACACGUGGGAACGUACCCUUUGGUUCGGAAUAACUUGGGGAAACUCAAGCUAAUACCGGAUAAGCCCUUAUGGGGAAAGGUUUACUGCCGAAGGACCGGCCCGCGUCUGAUUAGCUAGUUGGUGAGGUAAUGGCUCACCAAGGCGACGAUCAGUAGCUGGUCUGAGAGGAUGAUCAGCCACACUGGGACUGAGACACGGCCCAGACUCCUACGGGAGGCAGCAGUGGGGAAUAUUGGACAAUGGGGGCAACCCUGAUCCAGCCAUGCCGCGUGAGUGAUGAAGGCCUUAGGGUUGUAAAGCUCUUACCCGGGACGAUAAUGACUGUACCGGGAGAAUAAGCCCCGGCUAACUUCGUGCCAGCAGCCGCCGUAA